rnacentral:rRNA from 1 species
AAAUUGAAGAGUUUGAUCAUGGCUCAGAUUGAACGCUGGCGGCAGGCCUAACACAUGCAAGUCGAGCGGAAACGAGUUAUCUGAACCUUCGGGGAACGAUAACGGCGUCGAGCGGCGGACGGGUGAGUAAUGCCUAGGAAAUUGCCCUGAUGUGGGGGAUAACCAUUGGAAACGAUGGCUAAUACCGCAUGAUGUCGUUUUCUAUAAACGAAGGUGACCAAAGAGGGGGACCGCAAGGCCUCUCGCGUCAGGAUAUGCCUAGGUGGGAUUAGCUAGUUGGUGAGGUAAUGGCUCACCAAGGCGACGAUCCCUAGCUGGUCUGAGAGGAUGAUCAGCCACACUGGAACUGAGACACGGUCCAGACUCCUACGGGAGGCAGCAGUGGGGAAUAUUGCACAAUGGGCGCAAGCCUGAUGCAGCCAUGCCGCGUGUAUGAAGAAGGCCUUCGGGUUGUAAAGUACUUUCAGUCGUGAGGAAGGCGGGUAUGUUAAUAGCAUAUUCGUUUGACGUUAGCGACAGAAGAAGCACCGGCUAACUCCGUGCCAGCAGCCGCGGUAAUACGGAGGGUGCGAGCGUUAAUCGGAAUUACUGGGCGUAAAGCGCAUGCAGGUGGUUUGUUAAGUCAGAUGUGAAAGCCCGGGGCUCAACCUCGGAAUAGCAUUUGAAACUGGCAGACUAGAGUACUGUAGAGGGGGGUAGAAUUUCAGGUGUAGCGGUGAAAUGCGUAGAGAUCUGAAGGAAUACCGGUGGCGAAGGCGGCCCCCUGGACAGAUACUGACACUCAGAUGCGCAAGCGUGGGGAGCAAACAGGAUUAGAUACCCUGGUAGUCCACGCCGUAAACGAUGUCUACUUGGAGGUUGUGGCCUUGAGCCGUGGCUUUCGGAGCUAACGCGUUAAGUAGACCGCCUGGGGAGUACGGUCGCAAGAUUAAAACUCAAAUGAAUUGACGGGGGCCCGCACAAGCGGUGGAGCAUGUGGUUUAAUUCGAUGCAACGCGAAGAACCUUACCUACUCUUGACAUCCAGAGAACUUUCCAGAGAUGGAUUGGUGCCUUCGGGAACUCUGAGACAGGUGCUGCAUGGCUGUCGUCAGCUCGUGUUGUGAAAUGUUGGGUUAAGUCCCGCAACGAGCGCAACCAGCGAGUAAUGGCAACCCUUAUCCUUGUUUGCCAGCGAGUAAUGUCGGGAACUCCAGGGAGACUGCCGGUGAUAAACCGGAGGAAGGUGGGGACGACGUCAAGUCAUCAUGGCCCUUACGAGUAGGGCUACACACGUGCUACAAUGGCGCAUACAGAGGGCAGCCAACUUGCGAAAGUGAGCGAAUCCCAAAAAGUGCGUCGUAGUCCGGAUUGGAGUCUGCAACUCGACUCCAUGAAGUCGGAAUCGCUAGUAAUCGUGGAUCAGAAUGCCACGGUGAAUACGUUCCCGGGCCUUGUACACACCGCCCGUCACACCAUGGGAGUGGGCUGCAAAAGAAGUAGGUAGUUUAACCUUCGGGGGGACGCUUACCACUUUGUGGUUCAUGACUGGGGUGAAGUCGUAACAAGGUAGCGCUAGGGGAACCUGGCGCUGGAUCACCUCCUUA